CCUACGGGUGGCUGCAGUGAGGAAUAUUGGUCAAUGGGCGCGAGCCUGAACCAGCCAAGUAGCGUGAAGGAAGAAUGACCUACGGGUUGUAAACUUCUUUUAUAGAGGAAUAAAGUAAGGCACGUGUGCCUGUUUGUAUGUACUUUAUGAAUAAGGAUCGGCUAACUCCGUGCCAGCAGCCGCGGUAAUACGGAGGAGCCGAGCGUUAUCCGGAUUUAUUGGGUUUAAAGGGAGCGUAGAUGGUUGUUUAAGUCAGCGGUGAAAGUUUGGGGAUCAACCGUAAAAUUGCAAUUGAUACUGGCAGGCUGGAGUACAGUUGAGGUAGGCGGAAUUCGUGGUGUAGCGGUGAAAUGCGUAGAUAUCACGAAGAACUCCGAUUGCGAAGGCAGCUUACUAAACUGCCACUGACAUUGAGGCUCGAAAGCGUGGGGAUCAAACAGGAUUAGAUACCCUUGUAGUC
rnacentral:rRNA from 1 species